rnacentral:rRNA from 1 species
AUUGAACGCUGGCGGCAUGCCUAACACAUGCAAGUCGAGCGGAGCGGCGGACGGGUGAGUAAUGACUAGGAAUCUGUCUGGUAGUGGGGGAUAGCGUAAGGAAAGGGGAGCUAAUAUCGCAUACUACCAGAUGAGACUAGGUCGGAUUAGCUAGUUGGUGGGGUAAAGGCCUACCAGGGCGACGAUCCGUAACAGGUCUGAGAGGAUGAUCAGUCAGCCUGGAACUGGGACACGGUCCAGACUCCUACGGGAGGCAGCAGUGGGGAAUUUUGGACAAUUGGCGAAAGCCUGAUCCUGCCCUGCCGCGUGUGUUAAGAAGGUCUUCGGAUUUUAAAGCCCUUUUAUUUGGGAGGCGUUACCUACAUAAUGAGCGCCGGCUAACUUCGUGCCAGCAGCCGCGGUAAUAC